ACUGUGAGAAACUCAGUAAUCUAUUUGAUAACUCCACUGUCGAUGGCAAACUUUUAAGUAUUUAUGCCAGUGAAAAACGUCCAUUAACUGAGGAUGUGCGUGCUACCUUAGUAGAUUUAAUUGUAAAGUCUGAGUUGAGUGCACAUCCAAAAUUUAAAGUGCCUUCUUCAGUAUUUAAGUAUUAUAGCUUGGCCAUUGAAAAAACGUUUGUCGGGGAAAAAGCUAGUGCUUAUUUUAUAGACUAUGUUUAUCUCGGCAACAAUAAGAAGAAAAGUGCCCGAGGCAAAUUAGUAGAUAAAUAUGGCAACAAAGAACAGCGCUCAGGCGUUUGAAGCUCCUAUCCCCCAUCAAGAAAUCUGAACAGGAAGAAUUGGCAACCGAAGAAUCAAAUGAUAAUAAUCUUAUUCUGGACGAAAACUUAACCUGGUUGGAGAAUAAUGUUGAGCCUUGGCCGCUAAUUGUAAAAAAGUGGCGAGAGACAUUUGCAAAGCGUAUUCCAUUAUUACGCACGACACUGAGCAUCCAAGCCUUCCUGAAUAAAUUUCCGUGUCUACAGUUGUCUGAUAAAGGAUUUGAAUUGCUUCGAGAGGAUUUUGACAAACUAUAUCCUGACAAAGGUGAAAACUUUCAUUUGCACUGGGGUCUUGUUGCUGAAAAGAUCAUAGAAUACAGCAAAGAAAAAGCAGGGAGAGACAAAUCCUGGAAGAAACUAAUCGAGAACAAUGGUAUUCUUUGGAAGCAGCAAU
rnacentral:lncRNA from 1 species